UUGAUCCUGGCUCAGAAUCAACGCUGGCGGCGCGCUUAACACAUGCAAGUCGCACGAGAAAGUGGAGCAAUCCAUGAGUACAGUGGCGUACGGGUGAGUUACACGUGGAUCAUCUACCUUUUAGUGGGGAAUACCCCCGGGAAACUGGGUAUAAUACCGCAUAAGCUCGUAAGAGGAAAGCAGCAAUGCGCUGAAAGAGUAGUCCGCGGCUGAUUAGCUAGUUGGUGAGGUAAUGGCUCACCAAGGCGAUGAUCGGUAGCCGGCCUGAGAGGGCACACGGCCACACUGGCACUGAAACAUGGGCCAGACUCCUACGGGAGGCAGCAGUGGGGAAUCUUGCACAAUGGAGUAAACUCUGAUGCAGCGACGCCGCGUGAGCGAUGAAGCCCUUCGGGGUGUUAAGCUCUUUCGACGGGAACGAUAAUGACGGUACCCGAAGAAGAAGCUGCUGCUAACUACGUGCCACCAGCCGCGGUAAUU
rnacentral:rRNA from 1 species